CCGCGGGAUUAGAGUUUGAUCCUGGCUCAGGACGAACGCUGGCGGCGUGCUUAACACAUGCAAGUCGAACGAUGAAGACUGGUGCUUGCACUGGUUGGAUUAGUGGCGAACGGGUGAGUAAUACGUGAGUAACCUGCCUUUGACUCUGGGAUAAGCCUGGGAAACUGGGUCUAAUACCGGAUAUGACAAGGAACCGCAUGGUUUUUUGUGGAAAGGGUUUGUACUGGUUUUAGAUGGGCUCACGGCCUAUCAGCUUGUUGGUGGGGUAAUGGCUCACCAAGGCGACGACGGGUAGCCGGCCUGAGAGGGUGACCGGCCACACUGGGACUGAGACACGGCCCAGACUCCUACGGGAGGCAGCAGUGGGGAAUAUUGCACAAUGGGCGCAAGCCUGAUGCAGCGACGCCGCGUGAGGGAUGACGGCCUUCGGGUUGUAAACCUCUUUCAGCAGGGAAGAAGCGAAAGUGACGGUACCUGCAGAAGAAGCGCCGGCUAACUACGUGCCAGCAGCCGCGGUAAUACGUAGGGCGCGAGCGUUGUCCGGAAUUAUUGGGCGUAAAGAGCUUGUAGGCGGUUUGUUGCGUCUGCUGUGAAAGACCGGGGCUUAACCCCGGUAUUGCAGUGGGUACGGGCAGACUAGAGUGCAGUAGGGGAGACUGGAAUUCCUGGUGUAGCGGUGAAAUGCGCAGAUAUCAGGAGGAACACCGAUGGCGAAGGCAGGUCUCUGGGCUGUAACUGACGCUGAGAAGCGAAAGCAUGGGGAGCGAACAGGAUUAGAUACCCUGGUAGUCCAUGCCGUANACGUUGGGCACUAGGUGUGGGGGACAUUCCACGUUUUCCGCGCCGU
rnacentral:rRNA from 1 species